rnacentral:sRNA from 1 species
UCCUAAUGUUGAGAUGCGGGCGGC